rnacentral:rRNA from 1 species
UACGUAGGGGGCAAGCGUUGUCCGGAAUCAUCGGGCGUAAAGAGCGUGUAGGCGGCCCGAUAAGUCAGCCGUGAAAGUCCAGGGCUCAACCCUGGAAUGCCGGUGGAAACUGUCGGGCUGGAGUCCGGAAGAGGCGAGUGGAAUUCCUGGUGUAGCGGUGAAAUGCGCAGAUAUCAGGAGGAACACCAAUGGCGAAGGCAGCUCGCUGGGACGGUACUGACGCUGAGACGCGAAAGCGUGGGGAGCAAACAGG